CCUAAUACAUGCAAGUCGAGCGGACAGAUGGGAGCUUGCUCCCUGAUGUUAGCGGCGGACGGGUGAGUAACACGUGGGUAACCUGCCUGUAAGACUGGGAUAACUCCGGGAAACCGGGGCUAAUACCGGAUGCUUGUUUGAACCGCAUGGUUCAAACAUAAAAGGUGGCUUCGGCUACCACUUACAGAUGGACCCGCGGCGCAUUAGCUAGUUGGUGAGGUAACGGCUCACCAAGGCGACGAUGCGUAGCCGACCUGAGAGGGUGAUCGGCCACACUGGGACUGAGACACGGCCCAGACUCCUACGGGAGGCAGCAGUAGGGAAUCUUCCGCAAUGGACGAAAGUCUGACGGAGCAACGCCGCGUGAGUGAUGAAGGUUUUCGGAUCGUAAAGCUCUGUUGUUAGGGAAGAACAAGUGCCGUUCAAAUAGGGCGGCACCUUGACGGUACCUAACCAGAAAGCCACGGCUAACUACGUGCCAGCAGCCGCGGUAAUACGUAGGUGGCAAGCGUUGUCCGGAAUUAUUGGGCGUAAAGGGCUCGCAGGCGGUUUCUUAAGUCUGAUGUGAAAGCCCCCGGCUCAACCGGGGAGGGUCAUUGGAAACUGGGGAACUUGAGUGCAGAAGAGGAGAGUGGAAUUCCACGUGUAGCGGUGAAAUGCGUAGAGAUGUGGAGGAACACCAGUGGCGAAGGCGACUCUCUGGUCUGUAACUGACGCUGAGGAGCGAAAGCGUGGGGAGCGAACAGGAUUAGAUACCCUGGUAGUCCACGCCGUAAACGAUGAGUGCUAAGUGUUAGGGGGUUUCCGCCCCUUAGUGCUGCAGCUAACGCAUUAAGCACUCCGCCUGGGGAGUACGGUCGCAAGACUGAAACUCAAAGGAAUUGACGGGGGCCCGCACAAGCGGUGGAGCAUGUGGUUUAAUUCGAAGCAACGCGAAGAACCUUACCAGGUCUUGACAUCCUCUGACAAUCCUAGAGAUAGGACGUCCCCUUCGGGGGCAGAGUGACAGGUGGUGCAUGGUUGUCG
rnacentral:rRNA from 2 species